rnacentral:rRNA from 1 species
UCCAGCAGCCAUAUCACCCUGCAACUCACAACUGGUAACCCACUGAAGCUCAGCAGGUGGGAGCCUGCUCAGUACCUGGAUGGGAGACCUCCUGGGAAAAACUAAGGUUGCAGCUGGAA